rnacentral:rRNA from 1 species
GCUGGCGGCGUGCUUAACACAUGCAAGUCGAACGAUGAUCCCAGCUUGCUGGGGGAUUAGUGGCGAACGGGUGAGUAACACGUGAGUAACCUGCCCUUGACUCUGGGAUAAGCCUGGGAAACCGGGUCUAAUACUGGAUAUGACCUUCUGGCGCAUGCCAUGUUGGUGGAAAGCUUUAUUGCGGUUUUGGAUGGACUCGCGGCCUAUCAGCUUGUUGGUGGGGUAAUGGCCUACCAAGGCGACGACGGGUAGCCGGCCUGAGAGGGUGGACGGCCACACUGGGACUGAGACACGGCCCAGACUCCUACGGGAGGCAGCAGUGGGGAAUAUUGCACAAUGGGCGCAAGCCUGAUGCAGCGACGCCGCGUGGGGGAUGAAGGCCUUCGGGUUGUAAACCUCUUUCAGUAGGGAAGAAGCGAAAGUGACGGUACCUGCAGAAGAAGCGCCGGCUAACUACGUGCCAGCAGCCGCGGUAAUACGUAGGGCGCAAGCGUUAUCCGGAAUUAUUGGGCGUAAAGAGCUCGUAGGCGGUUUGUCGCGUCUGCCGUGAAAGUCCGGGGCUUAACUCCGGAUCUGCGGUGGGUACGGGCAGACUAGAGUGAUGUAGGGGAGACUGGAAUUCCUGGUGUAGCGGUGAAAUGCGCAGAUAUCAGGAGGAACACCGAUGGCGAAGGCAGGUCUCUGGGCAUUAACUGACGCUGAGGAGCGAAAGCAUGGGGAGCGAACAGGAUUAGAUACCCUGGUAGUCCAUGCCGUAAACGUUGGGCACUAGGUGUGGGGGACAUUCCACGUUUUCCGCGCCGUACUAACGCAU